AAAUUAUAUCUUUUGGUGAAUUGAGCAUCUUUAAAAAACACUUUUGGCUGACUUUCACAAAUGUCCAUAAGAGCACUGUGCACUGCCAACAAUGAGCCACGUGUAGAAACGCAUCAAAUGGCAUCUUUGUAUCGUUAAGAAGUGACGCAAAUGAUCUCUGCUACUGCCUUUUGCUUUUAAGCCUAUGUUGUAUUUGUAACCUUGUUGCCUCGGGAUCUUGGGAAAAAGAGACCACGAGAGAGCGAAGUUGGUAAGUGUGAGCCAUAGGAGGCUGGAGAAAGAAGCAAGGUUGCUCCCCAGUGAGGGUCUUGGCCCCUCUCCCUUCUCUCUGGGGAUGUCAUCUUAUUAUAAUUCCUCCAUGCUCAGGGAAGCAGAGGUGUCUUCAGUUCUCUCCUCACGGGACCUGGAAUGAGGCAGAGGAAGUGGAGCAGAACCUCGAGGACAGCCGCAAGCACCUGCCGGUUCCCAGAAGCCGAGCAACAGAGACGCAGCAUGCACAGAAAUGAGGUCUCACUGUGUUGCCCAGGCUGCUGUACAGUGGUGCAAUAGUUCACUGCAUUCCGAACUGCUGGACUCAAGAUCCUCCUGCCUCAGCCUCCCAAGUAGCAGGCACUAGAGGUAUGUACCACCACACCCAGCUAAUUUUUCAAUUUUUUGCCAAGAAGGGGUCUCGGCAUGUUGCCCAGGCUCGUCUCUAACUCCUGGGCUCAAGCCAUCCUUCCACCUCAGCCUCCCAAAGUACUGAGAUUACAGGCAUGAGCUACCACACCUGGCAUGCUUCUUGUAUUUCGAAGCUCUAUUUUUGGGUGCAUACACAUAUAGGAUUGUUUUGGCUUCUUGAUUAACUGACUCUUUCAUUAUUACAUAGUUUUUCUUUAUUUCUGGCUGUUUUCUUUGCUGUGACGUCUACUGUGAUACUGACACCUAGCUGUCUUCGGUUCAUGUUU
rnacentral:lncRNA from 1 species